rnacentral:rRNA from 1 species
UUGCCAGCAGGCCGCGGUAAAACGUAGGGGGCGAGCGUUGUCCGGAAUUACUGGGCGUAAAGGGCGUGCAGGCGGCCUGUGUAGUCAAGCGGUGAAAACCCGGGGCUUAACUUCGGGAUGGCCCUUGAAACCAACAGGCUUGAGGACAGGAGAGGGGAGUGGAAUUUCCGGUGUAGCGGUGAAAUGCGUAGAUACCGGAAGGAACACCAGUGGCGAAGGCGGCUCCCUGGACUGGUCCUGACGCUGAGGCGCGAAAGCGUGGGGAGCAAACAGGAUUAGAUACCCUGGUAGUCCACGCCGUAAACGAUGGGUGCUAGGUGUUGGGGGUAUCGACCCCUCCAGUGCCGCAGUUAACACAAUAAGCACCCCGCCUGGGGAGUACGACCGCAAGGUUGAAACUCAAAGGAAUUGACGGGGGCCCGCACAAGCGGUGGAGCAUGUGGUUUAAUUCGACGUAACGCGAAGAACCUUACCAGGGCUUGACAUCUUCUGACCGCUUAAGGAAACUUAAGCCUUCCGGGAAGUUUACUUUCCGGACAGAAAGACAGGUGGUGCAUGGUUGUCGUCAGCUCGUGUCNUGAGAUGUUGGGUUAAGUCCGCAACGAGCGCAACCCCUACGGUUA